rnacentral:tRNA from 1 species
GCCGGGGUGGCGAAAUGGUAGACGCAGUGGGCUUAAAACCCGCGGACUGUUAUAGGUCGUGCGAGUUCGAAUCUCGCCCCCGGUACCA